UGGGGGAUAUUGCACAAUGGGCGAAAGCCUGAUGCAGCGACGCCGCGUGGGGGAUGAAGGCUUUCGGGUUGUAAACCUCUUUCGCUAUCGAACAAGGCCCGCUUAGGGUGGGUUGAGGGUAGGUGGAGAAGAAGCGCCGGCUAACUACGUGCCAGCAGCCGCGGUAAUACGUAGGGCGCGAGCGUUGUCCGGAAUUAUUGGGCGUAAAGGGCUUGUAGGCGGCUUGUUGCGCCUGCUGUGAAAACGCGGGGCUUAACUUCGCGCGUGCAGUGGGUACGGGCAGGCUUGAGUGUGGUAGAGGUGACUGGAAUUCCAGGUGUAGCGGUGGAAUGCGCAGAUAUCUGGAGGAGCACCGAUGGCGAAGGCAGGUCACUGGGCCAUUACUGACGCUGAGGAGCGAAAGCAUGGGUAGCGAACAGG
rnacentral:rRNA from 1 species